rnacentral:rRNA from 1 species
CCUGGCUCAGGAUGAACGCUAGCUACAGGCUUAACACAUGCAAGUCGAGGGGAAACGAUAGAGAAAGCUUGCUUUUUCUAGGCGUCGACCGGCGCACGGGUGAGUAACGCGUAUCCAACCUGCCCAUCACUUGGGGAUAACCUUGCGAAAGUAAGACUAAUACCCAAUGACGUCUCUAGAAGACAUCUGAAGGAGAUUAAAGAUUUAUCGGUGAUGGAUGGGGAUGCGUCUGAUUAGCUUGUUGGCGGGUAACGGCCCACCAAGGCGACGAUCAGUAGGGGUUCUGAGAGGAAGGUCCCCCACAUUGGAACUGAGACACGGUCCAAACUCCUACGGGAGGCAGCAGUGAGGAAUAUUGGUCAAUGGACGAGAGUCUGAACCAGCCAAGUAGCGUGCAGGAUGACGGCCCUAUGGGUUGUAAACUGCUUUUAUAAGGGAAUAAAGUGAGUCUCGUGAGACUUUUUGCAUGUACCUUAUGAAUAAGGACCGGCUAAUUCCGUG